GACGAACGCUGGCGGCGUGCUUAACACAUGCAAGUCGAACGGUGAAGGGAUCAGCUUGCUGGUUCUGGAUGAGUGGCGAACGGGUGAGUAACACGUGAGUAACCUGCCCCCUUCUUCUGGAUAACCGCAUGAAAGUGUGGCUAAUACGGGAUAUUCUGCGCCUGCUGCAUGGUGGGUGUGGGAAAGAUAUUGUUUCGGUGGGGGAUGGGCUCGCUGCCUAUCAGCUUGUUGGUGGGGUGAUGGCCUACCUAGGCGGUGACGGGUAGCCGGCCUGAGAGGGUGGACGGUGACACUGGGACUGAGACACGGCGCAGAGUCCUACGGGAGGCAGCAGUGGGGAAUAUUGCACAAUGGGCGAAAGCCUGAUGCAGCGACGCCGCGUGAGGGAUGGAGGCCUUCGGGUUGUGAACCUCUUUCGCCAGUGAAGCAGGCCUGUGCCUUGUGGGUGGGUUGACGGUAGCUGGAUAAGAAGCGCCGGCUAACUACGUG
rnacentral:rRNA from 1 species